rnacentral:rRNA from 1 species
UGCCAGCCGCCGCGGUAAUACGAGUGCCCCAAGCGUUAUCCGGAAUUAUUGGGCGUAAAGGGUCCGUAGGCGGACUUAUUAGUCUUUCGUUAAAGCACCGGGCUUAACCCGGGACCGGCGAGAGAAACGGUAAGUCUAGAGGAUGUGAGAGGUGUGUGGAACUCAUGGUGUAGGGGUGAAAUCCGUUGAUAUCAUGGGGAACACCAAAUGCGAAGGCAGCACACUGGCACAUUCCUGACGCUGAGGGACGAAACCCUGGGUCGCGAAUGGGAUUAGAUA